GGUUUUAUGGUGUAACGGUUACCACUCCAGACUCUGAAUCUGGCGAUCUGGGUUCGAAUCCCAGUAAAACUU
rfam:Perkinsus marinus ATCC 50983 gcontig_1104296287462, whole genome shotgun sequence.